UACGUAGGGUGCGAGCGUUAAUCGGAAUUACUGGGCGUAAAGGGUGCGCAGGCGGUUACAUAAGACAGAUGUGAAAUCCCCGGGCUCAACCUGGGAACUGCGUUUGUGACUGUAUGACUAGAGUACGGUAGAGAGGGGUGGAAUUCCUGGUGUAGCAGUGAAAUGCGUAGAUAUCAGGAGGAACAUCGAUGGCGAAGGCAGCCCCUUGGACCUGUACUGACGCUCAUGGCACGAAAGCGUGGGGAGCAAACAGG
rnacentral:rRNA from 1 species